rnacentral:rRNA from 1 species
UGCCGCGUGUGUGAAGAAGGCCUUUUGGUUGUAAAGCACUUUAAGCGAGGAGGAGGCUACUUAGAUUAAUACUCUAGGAUAGUGGACGUUACACGCAGAAUAAGCACCGGCUAACUCUGUGCCAGCAGCCGCGGUAAUACAGAGGGUGCGAGCGUUAAUCGGAUUUACUGGGCGUAAAGCGUGCGUAGGCGGCUUUUUAAGUCGGAUGUGAAAUCCCUGAGCUUAACUUAGGAAUUGCAUUCGAUACUGGGAAGCUAGAGUAUGGGAGAGGAUGGUAGAAUUCCAGGUGUAGCGGUGAAAUGCGUAGAGAUCUGGAGGAAUACCGAUGGCGAAGGCAGCCAUCUGGCCUAAUACUGACGCUGAGGUACGAAAGCAUGGGGAGCAAACAGGAUUAGAUACCCUGGUAGUCCAAGGG